rnacentral:rRNA from 1 species
AUUGAACGCUGGCGGCAUGCUUUACACAUGCAAGUCGAACGGCAGCGCGGGCUUCGGCCUGGCGGCGAGUGGCGAACGGGUGAGUAAUACAUCGGAACGUGCCCAGUAGUGGGGGAUAGCUCGGCGAAAGCCGGAUUAAUACCGCAUACGACCUGAGGGUGAAAGCGGGGGAUCUUCGGACCUCGCACUAUUGGAGCGGCCGAUGGCAGAUUAGCUAGUUGGUGGGGUAAAGGCCUACCAAGGCGACGAUCUGUAGCUGGUCUGAGAGGACGACCAGCCACACUGGGACUGAGACACGGCCCAGACUCCUACGGGAGGCAGCAGUGGGGAAUUUUGGACAAUGGGCGAAAGCCUGAUCCAGCAAUGCCGCGUGUGUGAUGAAGGCCUUCGGGUUGUAAAGCACUUUUGGCGGGAACGAAAAGGACUGUGCCAAUACCACGGUUCGAUGACGGUACCCGCAGAAUAAGCACCGGCUAACUACGU